rnacentral:lncRNA from 1 species
GAAAAUUGCUGCCUGGGUCGGCUGGGCCUGUAGGCCUGCGUCCGGCAGCGCGCGGCCGUGCUUUCUAAGCGGGCUCGGCAGCACCAGACUUCACCGGCCCGGCGCGGGGCUCACAAGUGCUCGCACUCCCUGCGGCCGGCGCGCUGACCGGAGCCUCUGGGUCUCGCACGCAGCAGCUGCAGACGCUGCCCGGCGCGGUGGGGCUGUGAGGAAAACGGCCCGCUGGUGUGGUUGCCCAGACUGUGCUGGGCCCUCCUAGGUGGAUGGCCCUGCCCCAGCCUAACUUCUGUACCCCAGCAUAACCUCCAAAGUAACAGCCGUGCCCUGGGAGCCUGUUCAACACUGAACAUAUCCCACAAUAACACUGUUCCAGCGUCGCUGGUAAAAAGCAGAAAUGGCUUCGCUGGAGGCAUCGACAAAUCUAAUGCAGUAACCUCAUUUUACAGAAGAGAACUCUAAGAGGAUAACUAACUUGGCCAAGAUCACAUGGCAAAUAGCGAAAACA